rnacentral:SRP_RNA from 1 species
GCCGGGCGUGGUGGCGUGUGCCUGUAAUCCCAGCUACUUGGGAGGUUGAGGCAGGAGAAUUGCUUGAAUCCAGGAGGCUGAGGUUGCAAUGAGCCAAGAUUGUGCCACUGCACUCCAGCCUGGGUGACAGAGUGAGACUCUGUCUCAA